GAAAUGACUCUCGGCAACGGAUAUCUCGGCUCUCGCAUCGAUGAAGAACGUAGCGAAAUGCGAUACUUGGUGUGAAUUGCAGAAUCCCGUGAACCAUCGAGUCUUUGAACGCAAGUUGCGCCCGAGGCCUUUAGGCCGAGGGCACGUCUGCCUGGGUGUCACGC
rnacentral:rRNA from 1 species